rnacentral:rRNA from 1 species
GACAGAGGUGCCGAGCGUUAGGCGGAAUCACUGGGCUUAAAGCGUGUGUAGGCGGAUCGUUAAGUGUCUUGUGAAAUCCCACGGCUCACCCGUGGAACUGCUGGGCAUACUGGCGAUCUUGGGCCAACUAGGGGCAACUGGAACAAGCGGUGGAGCGGUGAAAUGCGUAGAUAUCAGGAGGAACACCAAUAGCGAAGGCAGCUCGCUGGGACGUUACUGACACUGAGGCGCGAAAGCGUGGGGAGCGAACAGG